CCCAGACUCCUACGGGAGGCAGCAGUGAGGAAUAUUGGUCAAUGGGCGGAAGCCUGAACCAGCCAAGUCGCGUGAGGGAAUAAGGCCCUACGGGUCGUAAACCUCUUUUGCCGGGGAGCAAGGGCCGGGACGCGUCCCGGCCCGGAGAGUACCCGGAGAAAAAGCAUCGGCUAACUCCGUGCCAGCAGCCGCGGUAAUACGGAGGAUGCGAGCGUUAUCCGGAUUUAUUGGGUUUAAAGGGUGCGUAGGCGGGUUUUUAAGUCAGCGGAAAAAAUGCGGGGCUCAACCCCGGCGAGCCGUUGAAACUGUCGGACUAGAGACGGCGAGAAGUACGCGGAAUGCGCGGUGUAGCGGUGAAAUGCAUAGAUAUCGCGCAGAACUCCGAUUGCGAAGGCAGCGUACCGGCGCCGGACUGACGCUGAGGCACGAAAGCGUGGGUAUCGAACAGGAUUAGAUACCCGAGUA
rnacentral:rRNA from 1 species